rnacentral:rRNA from 1 species
AAAUUGAAGAGUUUGAUCAUGGCUCAGAUUGAACGCUGGCGGCAGGCCUAACACAUGCAAGUCGAACGGUAACAGGAAGCAGCUUGCUGUUUCGCUGACGAGUGGCGGACGGGUGAGUAAUGUCUGGGAAACUGCCUGAUGGAGGGGGAUAACUACUGGAAACGGUAGCUAAUACCGCAUAACGUCGCAAGACCAAAGAGGGGGACCUUCGGGCCUCUUGCCAUC